GGGCCGUUAGCUCAACUGGCAGAGCAGCGGACUUUUAAUCCGCGGGUUCAGGGUUCGAUCCCCUGGCGGCCCACCA
rnacentral:tRNA from 6 species